rnacentral:rRNA from 1 species
CUUCCGUAGGGUGAACCUGCGGAAGGAUCAUUACCUAGAGUUUGUGGACUUCGGUCUGCUACCUCUUACCCAUGUCUUUUGAGUACCUUCGUUUCCUCGGCGGGUCCGCCCGCCGGUUGGACAACAUUCAAACCCUUUGCAGUUGCAAUCAGCGUCUGAAAAAACUUAAUAGUUACAACUUUCAACAACGGAUCUCUUGGUUCUGGCAUCGAUGAAGAACGCAGCGAAAUGCGAUAAGUAGUGUGAAUUGCAGAAUUCAGUGAAUCAUCGAAUCUUUGAACGCACAUUGCGCCCCUUGGUAUUCCAUGGGGCAUGCCUGUUCGAGCGUCAUUUGUACCUUCAAGCUCUGCUUGGUGUUGGGUGUUUUGUCUCGCCUCCGCGCGCAGACUCGCCUUAAAACAAUUGGCAGCCGGCGUAUUGAUUUCGGAGCGCAGUACAUCUCGCGCUUUGCACUCAUAACGACGACGUCCAAAAGUACAUUUUUACACUCUUGACCUCGGAUCAGGUAGGGAUACCCGCUGAACUUAAGCAUAUCAAUAAGCGGAGGAA